GAAAUCUUUACGUUCCUUUUGAGUCCACUUUUUCCACUGGUUAGCUGUUCAAUAAUGUCUUCUUAGUCACUGUGGUAGACAAUCUCGAAAUAUGGCCUCCUCUGCCAUUUGUGGCCAUUGCCAUUCACUAUCUAAGACAAAUCUUGGUGUUGUUCACUCUUUAUAUGUUCUUUUGUUGCCUAACAAUUCAUGGGAUGAUUUAGUUGAAACUUGAUGACUCAG
rnacentral:misc_RNA from 1 species